AACCGCUUUCGGGCGGGGAUUAGUGGCGAACGGGUGAGUAACACGUGGGCAAUCUGCCCUGCACUCUGGGACAAGCCCUGGAAACGGGGUCUAAUACCGGAUAUGACUGUCCAUCGCAUGGUGGAUGGUGUAAAGCUCCGGCGGUGCAGGAUGAGCCCGCGGCCUAUCAGCUUGUUGGUGAGGUAGUGGCUCACCAAGGCGACGACGGGUAGCCGGCCUGAGAGGGCGACCGGCCACACUGGGACUGAGACACGGCCCAGACUCCUACGGGAGGCAGCAGUGGGGAAUAUUGCACAAUGGGCGAAAGCCUGAUGCAGCGACGCCGCGUGAGGGAUGACGGCCUUCGGGUUGUAAACCUCUUUCAGCAGGGAAGAAGCGAAAGUGACGGUACCUGCAGAAGAAGCGCCGGCUAACUACGUGCCAGCAGCCGCGGUAAUACGUAGGGCGCAAGCGUUGUCCGGAAUUAUUGGGCGUAAAGAGCUCGUAGGCGGCUUGUCACGUCGGUUGUGAAAGCCCGGGGCUUAACCCCGGGUCUGCAGUCGAUACGGGCAGGCUAGAGUUCGGUAGGGGAGAUCGGAAUUCCUGGUGUAGCGGUGAAAUGCGCAGAUAUCAGGAGGAAC
rnacentral:rRNA from 1 species